UUGGGAAUUUUGGACAAUGGGCGAAAGCCUGAUCCAGCCAUGCCGCGUGAGUGAAGAAGGCCUUCGGGUUGUAGAGCUCUUUUAGUCGGAACGAAAGAGUUGCAAUGAAUAAUUGUGAUUUAUGACGGUACCGACAGAAAAAGCACCGGCUAACUACGUGACAGCAGCCGCGGUAAUACGUAGGGUGCGAGCGUUAAUCGGAAUUACUGGGCGUAAAGGGUGCGCAGGCGGUCUUGCAAGUCAGAUGUGAAAGCCCCGGGCUUAACCGGGGAAUUGCGUUUGAAACUACAAGACUAGAUUGCAGCAGAGGGGAGGGGCAUUCCAUGUGUAGCAGUGAAAUGCGGAGAGAUGUGGAAGAACACCGAUGGCGAAGGCAGCUCCCUGGGUUGACACUGA
rnacentral:rRNA from 1 species